rnacentral:rRNA from 1 species
GACGAACGCUGGCGGCGUGCUUAACACAUGCAAGUCGAACGAAGAGCGAUGGAAGCUUGCUUCUAUCAAUCUUAGUGGCGAACGGGUGAGUAACGCGUAAUCAACCUGCCCUUCAGAGGGGGACAACAGUUGGAAACGACUGCUAAUACCGCAUACGAUCUAAUCUCGGCAUCGAGGAUAGAUGAAAGGUGGCCUCUACAUGUAAGCUAUCACUGAAGGAGGGGAUUGCGUCUGAUUAGCUAGUUGGAGGGGUAACGGCCCACCAAGGCGAUGAUCAGUAGCCGGUCUGAGAGGAUGAACGGCCACAUUGGGACUGAGACACGGCCCAGACUCCUACGGGAGGCAGCAGUGGGGAAUCUUCCGCAAUAGACGAAGGUCUGACGGAGCAACGCCGCGUGAGCGAUGACGGCCUUCGGGUUGUAAAGCUCUGUUAAUCGGGACGAAAGGCCUUCUUGCGAAUAGUGAGAAGGAUUGACGGUACCGGAAUAGAAAGCCACGGCUAACUACGUG